rnacentral:rRNA from 1 species
GGACGAACGCUGGCGGCGUGCUUAACACAUGCAAGUCGAACGGAAAGGCCCUGCUUUUGUGGGGUGCUCGAGUGGCGAACGGGUGAGUAACACGUGAGUAACCUGCCCUUGACUUUGGGAUAACUUCAGGAAACUGGGGCUAAUACCGGAUAGGAGCUCCUGCUGCAUGGUGGGGGUUGGAAAGUUUCGGCGGUUGGGGAUGGACUCGCGGCUUAUCAGCUUGUUGGUGGGGUAGUGGCUUACCAAGGCUUUGACGGGUAGCCGGCCUGAGAGGGUGACCGGCCACAUUGGGACUGAGAUACGGCCCAGACUCCUACGGGAGGCAGCAGUGGGGAAUAUUGCACAAUGGGCGGAAGCCUGAUGCAGCAACGCCGCGUGCUGGAUGACGGCCUUCGGGUUGUAAACCGCUUUCGCCUGUGACGAAGCGUGAGUGACGGUAAUGGGUAAAGAAGCACCGGCUAACUACGUG